UAAAGUGGACAGUGAUUUCAGAGCCCAUGGGGUGAAGUAGCAGUUGUUUUGCAUUUGACUUCUGUUGAUCAGCCUUUCUUCCUGCUCUGUCCUUUACCCUGAGAGGAAUUUAACUUAGCAACUGAAAUGUCAUUCAGCGGGUACUUAAGUACUUGGUGAGUAUGCCAGACUCUAAACAAGAUGAUAUGUGAGAUGCUGCACAGAGUCCUCAGGGAGCUUGCAAUCUGACAGGAACCUGAGUACAGACACCUGUAAAUGCAAAGCUGACUGUCACCACCCUGGGGAUACAGAGAACAUGAGGUUACUCUGCUUUGACUGGCGUGAC
rnacentral:lncRNA from 1 species